rnacentral:rRNA from 1 species
GUCCACGCCGUAAACGAUGGGCGCUAGGUGUGGGAGGUGUCGACUCCUUCCGUGCCGCAGCUAACGCAUUAAGCGCCCCGCCUGGGGAGUACGGCCGCAAGGCUAAAACUCAAAGGAAUUGACGGGGGCCCCGCACAAGCAGCGGAGCAUGUGGUUUAAUUGGAUGCAACGCCAAGAACCUUACCAAGGCAUGACAUGUUCGGGAAAGCUGGAGAAAUUCAGCCCUCCUUCGGGACCCGAUCACAGGUGGUGCAUGGCUGUCGU